UACGUAGGCAGCGAGCGUUGUUCGGAGUUACUGGGCGUAAAGGGCUCGUAGGCGGCCAACUAAGUCGGAUGUGAAAUCCCCAGGCUCAACUUGGGAACUGCAUCCGAUACUGGAUGGCUUGAAUUCGGGAGAGGGAUGCAGAAUUCCAGGUGUAGCGGUGAAAUGCGUAGAUAUCUGGAGGAAUACCGGUGGCGAAGGCGGCAUCCUGGACCGACAUUGACGCUGAGGAGCGAAAGCUAGGGGAGCAAACGGG
rnacentral:rRNA from 1 species